rnacentral:tRNA from 5 species
CCGCGCUUAGCUCAGUUGGCCAGAGCGGCUCGUUUACACCGAGUAGGUCGCUGGUUCGAGUCCAGCAGCGCGGA